UCACAGUGAACCGGUCUCUUUUU
rnacentral:ncRNA from 3 species